GUAGAUUUGCUUAGAGGUUCUGCAUGCUUUGCUGAGGUGGGACUAACAAGCCUUGAUUUCAUCCCCCUUCACGCAUCCUCUUAUCUUUAAUAGCUGAAGGAUGUUUUUGGCUCUGCUUAUUUUAUCAUUAUAUGCUUGUAUACUAGCUCUUUUUAGUUUCCAUCUUCUUGUAUAUAUGACUCUUUGUACAACUUUCUUGCUAGCUGCCUUGUCCAUCUUCAGUACUCAAUUAAUUUUGGAAUUCUAAUUCAACCUUGUAAAAAUAUCAUUUUGCCCCCCGGAACUCACAUAAUUGGCCACUGUAAUGGAGAACAAAAAUGUCAUUUUACAGGGCAAACAUGCAUGGCUAAACACUGUCCCUCUUUAUUUUUUAUUUGAUAGCAAUCAGUAUGAGCAUAAAUAAAUACAAAUGAGCACGGUGGAUGGGUAUUUCAAUUCUUCAGAUUCAUGGCCGAGCAGAAAUCAGAUACGAAACGGGUCAUAUCCGAGGGAGAGACCAUCCAACUAGGUUAAAAACAAGAGGCCUGCCCUCUCUCUGCAAGCUAAGCUCAAACACAAACACAUGAGAAUCGUUUUAUAAUUUAUAUCCCUUUCAAGAACAACCAUUUGUAGUUGAUGACCGACAAGCAAUACUUCAUCAUGUGGUUCCAUCUUGAAAUGCAAGUACGUGUAUAGACCAUAGAGUGAGUAUAAACUGCAAGUUCUAGAGUGGUCCUCCUCCUAAUUGCGUGAUGUGCCUGGCAUCUAAGAUGAUAGAGGAACCUCAUUCUUACCCCUCGCAUGCUAACAUAGAGCCCGCAGCACAAAACAAAGUUACUACUGUUUAGUGGCUUGCGGCCAUGGAAAGACCAGAGACUUCAUAGGUCAGCAUAAUUUCUACCAGCGUUAUAAACGAGUUCUAAAUAAUGCUGUUCUUCUCUUGGCAUAUUACAUUAGCCCUAGCUGUUUGUUCAUCACUUCCACUACAUUACAACUACUACUCUCCAACUCAUUGGUAAUUAAAACAAAUGAAAACGUUAUGCUGUCAUCGAUUACAAUUCUUAAUUUGUAGCUCUACUAUGUUUCAGGAAAAGUUGAGGAUUCUUUGGUCGGUAAAAGAUUUUUGCAACUAAUAAUAUACCCUAGUAUGUUCGUGUGGAAUCCCACACUGGGGGCAUCUUUAAUUUCCUCUUUUUAGUCUAGGCACUCCUGUAAGCUUUUCUUGACCUUCUCUUUUUGUCCACUUCGAAAUAUAAAACCUCAUUUUUUUUUCUUUGCUGGUAAUUUUCCAGUUCAUGAUCUCGUCUAACUUUGUUUGUUUACAUGUAGCAUGAUUGAAUAAGAUGAGAGAACGAACAUUUUGCACCUCCAUUAAUAAAGGCAUAAAUGUUCUUUUGAUUUUUGACACGGCUUUUAUGCUUAUGGCAUCCAUACUCUCUUAACGCGAAAGGAAAAAGAAGCACUUACCAUAGCAAACAAAAUACUCAAGCUAAGUAAAUGGGGACCCGGACGAGUUAAUGUGGGAUAUCAUCACAUCCAUACUAGUACAUAUUGUGUCGCAUGAUAUUUGACUUCACUAUAUUUUAAUCAGUCGUAGUGGAGGGUGCAAAGGAGAGACAAAAAUAACUCAAGCAACUGGAAAAGAAAAGGUUAGUAAACGCAUGCCUGACCACACAAGAACUGAGGGAGGGAAAAGAAUAUACUUACAGUGAGUUAUUAUACAUCUUUUUAGAUUUGAAAGAUGUGUCUGGAAUCUAUUAUGGGCCCCCAAACAGGAAGGAGUGAGGCUGUCAGAGCAUGACCUAGCUAGGGUUAGUUCUUUCGCUUCUAUACAUCUCUAACCAAAGAUAGAUCAUGCUGGCAGCUUCACCUUUUCCCUUGUGAACUUCUUUUAACCACACGAAAACAGAUCAGGUCAACUCCCUGCACAUUGUUCUUUCGUUAUUGUAUGAAAACAGAAACUGAGCAGAAGAUUCCUCUUCUUUAAUUUUUUUUUAUAAGCAGAAAGAUGCUUCUUAUUGAAGGAGAUAGAUCAGGAAGGUGCAAGUACAAGAAAGUAGUUUCAAGCAUGCGCCUAUAGAGAAUGGAAAUAAACCUUCAAAACUAAAAUCUGAAGAUUGUACAAAUUUAUCUUUGAAAAGCAAAAACUCCAUUGAGAAAAUUAGAACGGUAUAGAACAACAGUUUCUGGCUCUACAAAAGGAAAUAUUUAAAGGAAAAAAACCAAAAAAAAAUCUUAAAAAAAUACACAUAUAUAGAUGAAAACAUGGAAAAAGAGAACGGAGACAACUGACGAGAGGAGUGAAAGCCUUUCUUUUCUCCAUCGAAGGAAAACAGAAACUACCACAGAGGAAAGAAAGAACGGAAGAAAGAAAAACCCUACAUUUCUUAGAUGCAAGGAUAGCAUAAAUAGAAGGGGAAGCUAGGGCAGAAGUAAACGAGUCAAGAUGAAGAGAAUCAUUAAGAAAAGACGCAAAACCCUUCUUGUUCAACAGUGAAUUAAAGGAGAGGCAUCAUGUGGACAGCUAAGAGGCUAUAGAAGUAUAGCAUAGUUAAGAAGAGUGGAGAUAAUAUAGGGUCACAGGUGGCGGUAGAAAAUAUAGGGCGGCAUCGCAGGCAAGGGUGGAGGCUACUGGUGCCCACAUAAAGUACUGUUUUGUGCAUACGAGGCAACAGUACAGUAGAGGAUCCGAAGGUAUCACACCACAAGUUUCAAAUAUGACUGUUCCUCCUCAGGGGCAGAAGGUCACUGUACCCUACAAUUAUUGGGUUUCUAAUCUAAGUGUUUGGUUAGUCUUUCGAUGCGUUUUGUUUGGAUUCCUUGCUAUUUCACUGCAUGCCUGGCGAGUGAUCAUUCAUUUGUACUUGUGACAGCCCCCCCACCCCCUCCUCCUCUCUGGGCUUUGCUUUGUUCAAAUUCAGUUGUCAAUUCAUGGUUGAAGGGGUGGUUUUAAUGCCGAUUCUCGCCCAUCGAGAAAACUCUCUAUAUCCUCUUUUGUUGGCUUGUGGGAUAAUUAAUGGUGGCGACAAGAUCUAUCCUUGCGAUAAAUAACGAGUUACAUCCAAGGCUCGACUAAAAUGAUAUAACCAGUUGUCCGGAAUGUUAUUUAUUUUUUUAAGUUUCAGUUUUGUAGGGUGGUAUAUAGUUUUUAUUUUGUUUUGGUUUUUUUAUUAAUUUUUUUUAAAAAUAAAUUAAAUAUUUUUAAAUAAUUUGAUGUACUGAUAUUAAAAAUAAUUUUUUUUAAAAAAUUUAUUUUAAUAUAUUUUCAAGUAAAAAACACUUUAAAAAAUAAUUUUUACCACAAUCUCAAAUAAAUGAAUUAUUAACUAUUAACACAACAUGUCUAGAUAAAAUAUCAAGCCUGAAUGACAUAAAUCUAGUUUGUUUCCAUACCCAAUAUCAUUGAUUUCAGUUUAUAUAUAUGAAAAGAUAUUGGACUUGAUAUCAUUAGAUUCAAUUAUGUGAUAAACUCAAGUAUCUUCUCUCCCCGAGGCUCUCUCAAGGCAUUAUAGGACAGGCUUCUUUAAUUAUGAGAAUUAUCUUUCCCCUACCAGGGGUGGACGCUAGAGUUCCAUUUACUGUAGUUUAGAGGCCUGAUUUGAUAGACCCCUGUUACUUGUUGCUUCUUUCAAUUUCUAGCUGAAACAUGAACUCAUUGUUGGAGAAAGCAAUGUCUUUACUCUUAAGGUCAAAUCUGACUUUACGAGGAUCCAUUUGGUUUUGUUAAAAAAAAAAAAAAAAGAAAUAAAGAAAUUGUUAGGUGGAGGUAACAAGAAUCAUAAUUUCUUAUUAAAAAAGAGUGAAAUUUGCUCAAGAAAUCUUCUAAACUGUUUUUACAGAGACUGCAAAUAGCGAAAGUGAAAGAAAACAGUAAAAGUAAUAACAGCUAGGGUAAUAAAAGAGAAAUUUUUUUACGCUUAUUGUUAAAUGAAUGACUUUUUAUGUCAUUUCAAAUAUCUAUAAAUCUAAUUAAUUAUUGCAUUAAACGUACGCCACUGUUUUAUUUACCAAUAAACACUUCUUUUAAUAAUGAAAAACUACUUCAGUGGAAUUUCUCUAAUCAAAUUAAACUUGCUGACACCAAGAUCUCCCUUUUUAGUUGAUGAAAUUGAUGUCAUCCAAUGUUUUUCUCUCCCAUCAACCGAAAUUUGACAACUUUCUUUUCUUCUCUCAAACUUAAAAACUAAAAUGUAAAGAAUAUUAAUUUUUGGACUAAAAUUAAAAUUACACAACUUUUAGGAAUUGUAAAGGAAAAAAAGAGAAGAGAUUAUGAUAAUGAAAAAGAACUUUUUUGUAUAACUCUAGAUUGACUAUGAGUUUUCUUUUAUUUUACAUUUUGAUUCCUAUUUUUUAAAUUGUAUUUUAGAUUAGCUAUGAGUUUUUUUUUGUUUUAUAUUUUGGUCCCUGUUUUUAAAAUUUUAUCUCUAUUGAAUAAAUUUUGAUAAAUCUAUUAUAAUAUAGUAUGUAAUGUAAUGUAAUAAUUAAGAAUACAUGUUCUCAAUCGAUCCGGGUGCAUCGGUCCUAGAUUAAAGGGGCAUAUAAAUUAUCUAUAACUUUAACGAAAGCAUAAACAUUGCUUAAAAUAUGUUUAAAUUAAAAUUAAAAAAAAAAACUAUUAAAAAACAUAAACAGCGUCAAAUGCUAAAUUACUUGCAAUAAAAAAUGCAAACACAUUUUUUAAAAACACACAUUUUAAAGAACUACCCUUGUAAACGCCAUUGCAUGUGAAAUAUCUGGACCGAAAUACUUGAGAAAGGUAAACAUCUCCCUCUGUGAAUGUUUAAAGAAAUCAGCAGAACAAUACCUCCUGAUUUUAAUUAAAAUAGCAUUUUAAGCCAUGACUAGAUUAUAUUAAAUUCCAGGAUUCCCUUUUUUCUUUUGAUCAUCUCAAUACCUUGAUUGCAGUGACCAAAAACUGCUGUUCAUGGCCGCUGCAGCUCACCGCAAACCUCCUACAAGCAGCUAAGGCUAUACCUGCGGCACUAAUUUGAAGCCUUUUUUAAAGCUGUUAAUUGGGUUCAGACGAGAUAUAAAGGCUAAUGCAAGCUCGUGAGUGAGAGAGAAGAAAAGGAUGAGAGAAAGGAGGGCCAAAAUGGAUUUAAAGGUGAUGAUCAGAUGCAAUAUAAUGGUUGUUUAUCCAUUUUUGGACGCAUGUAAGUUGCUAUUAGUUACAGAGUCUGCAAUUUACAGAUAUAGUAGACUGCUAGGCCUGUGAGGUAUGUGCCAUCCAAGUUUUCGGAGGUUCUGUAAUGUUAUUUGUCAGUGGGGUGUUUGCGAGUUGACUAAGAAUUAUUUUUUAAAAUAUUUUUAAUAUAAAAUUAGAAUAAUCAUGUUAAAUAAUAAUAAUAAUAAUAAUAAUAAUAAUAAUCAUCUAAUAUAAUGGAAUAAAUUGAAAAAUAAAAAAAUUCAAAGAAAAAAAUUGAAUUAACUUAAUUAACUUAUUACCUGUAAUAUGAGAUUAAGAUUAAAAAAAAACUAGAAAAAAAAAAAGUUAAAUCAAUAAAAAACUAGAAAAAAUUAAAUAAAUUCGAGUUACCUGAAUAAAGUAAAAAUACAAAUUGGAGGCAGAAUUGAAUUUUGGUCGGACCAUCAUGAAUCCCGGGACUCACAUUCUUGGCUGUUAUAAUGAAGAACAAAAAUGUCAUUUUACUGUGCAACAUGCAUGGCGAAGCACCUUUCCCUUUGAGUUUUUUCUUUAAUAGUAAUGAACACGAGCAUAAAUAAAUAAAUACAAAUGAGCACCGUGGAGGAGGGGGAUUUUAAUUCUUACGAUUCAUGACCGAGCAGAAAUCAGAGACGACACCGGUCAUAUCCAAGAGAGAGACCCUCCAACCAGGUAGAAAACAAGAGCCAUGCUCUCCCUCUGCAAGCUAAGCUCACGUACAAACACGCGAGAAUCGUUUUAUAAUUUUUAUCCCUUUCAAGAACAAUAACCAUUGUAGUUGAUGACCGACAAGCAACACUUCAUGUGUGGUUCCGUCUUGAAAUGCAAGUACGUGUAGAGACCAUAGAGUGAGCAUAAACUGCAGGCUCUAGAGUGGUCCUCCUCCUAAUUGCGUGAUGUGCCUUGCAUCUAAGGUGAUAAGGAACGUCGUUCUUACUCCUGGCAUGCUAACACAGAGCCCGCAGCACAAAACAAAGUCCCUACUGUUUGGUGACUUGCGGCCAUGGAAGGACCAGAGGUUUCGUAGGUCAGCAUAAUUUCUAGCAGCGUUAUAAACGAGUUCUAACUAAUGCU
rnacentral:lncRNA from 1 species